rnacentral:rRNA from 1 species
AGUGAACGCUGGCGGCAGGCCUAACACAUGCAAGUCGAACGGCAGCACAAGAGAGCUUGCUCUCUGGGUGGCGAGUGGCGGACGGGUGAGGAAUGCAUCGGAAUCUUCCCAUUUGUGGGGGAUAACCUCGGGAAACCGGGACUAAUACCGCAUACGACCUACGGGUGAAAGCAGGGGAUCUUCGGACCUUGCGCAGAUGGAUGAGCCGAUGCCGGAUUAGCUAGUUGGAGGGGUAAAGGCCCACCAAGGCGACGAUCCGUAGCUGGUCUGAGAGGAUGAUCAGCCACACUGGGACUGAGACACGGCCCAGACUCCUACGGGAGGCAGCAGUGGGGAAUAUUGGACAAUGGGCGCAAGCCUGAUCCAGCCAUGCCGCGUGUGUGAAGAAGGCCUUCGGGUUGUAAAGCACUUUUGUUGGGAAAGAAAAGCAGCCGGUUAAUACCCGGUUGUCAUGACGGUACCCAAAGAAUAAGCACCGGCUAACUUCGUG